GAACACCGUUGUGUUGGACGCC
rnacentral:siRNA from 1 species